rnacentral:lncRNA from 1 species
AAGAGGUAUUUUAGUUAUCUGACUCAGGGCAUGUUGAGUAAAGCUAAUUUACCAGUCCUGGGUGGGGGUAAAUCCUCGAGGUUGAUGUGUAGGGAUGGGAGGGGGCCUGAAUAAUCCCUGAGGAGUAGUAGAAUAGCAGAUGGAACACUCAGAAGUUAUUUCCUUGAGGAGGUGUGUGGCGAUUAGGCCUGGUGGAACCGCCAUCAAUAAAUCAAGCGUGAUCAGGGUGAGGUACAGGAAAGAAGGAAAUAUGGGGAAAUGGGGUGAAUGUCAGGUGGAUCAGAGAGAUACAGUCAUGGGGGUCAGGUGUGGUAUCAGGAAUAAUGUGGGAGGCCAGAUUGAAGUCCGGGCCAGGAACAAUGGUAAUUGUGGGACUUAACAAAGAGU